rnacentral:rRNA from 1 species
ACCCUGGUAGUCCACGCCGUAAACGAUGUCGACUUGGAGGUUGUUCCCUUGAGGAGUGGCUUCCGGAGCUAACGCGUUAAGUCGACCGCCUGGGGAGUACGGCCGCAAGGUUAAAACUCAAAUGAAUUGACGGGGGCCCGCACAAGCGGUGGAGCAUGUGGUUUAAUUCGAUGCAACGCGAAGAACCUUACCUACUCUUGACAUCCAGAGAACUUAGCAGAGAUGCUUUGGUGCCUUCGGGAACUCUGAGACAGGUGCUGCAUGGCUGUCGUCAGCUCGUGUUGUGAAAUGUUGGGUUAAGUCCCGCAACGAGCGCAACCCUUAUCCUUUGUUGCCAGCGAUUCGGUCGGGAACUCAAAGGAGACUGCCGGUGAUAAACCGGAGGAAGGUGGGGAUGACGUCAAGUCAUCAUGGCCCUUACGAGUAGGGCUACACACGUGCUACAAUGGCGCAUACAAAGAGAAGCGACCUCGCGAGAGCAAGCGGACCUCAUAAAGUGCGUCGUAGUCCGGAUCGGAGUCUGCAACUCGACUCCGUGAAGUCGGAAUCGCUAGUAAUCGUGGAUCAGAAUGCCACGGUGAAUACGUUCCCGGGCCUUGUACACACCGCCCGUCACACCAUGGGAGUGGGUUGCAAAAGAAGUAGGUAGCUUAACCUUCGGGAGGGCGCUUACCACUUUGUGAUUCAUGACUGGGGUGAAGUC